ACUCCUACGGGAGGCAGCAGUGGGAAUAUUGGACAAUGGGGGAAACCCUGAUCCAGCCAUGCCGCGUGUGUGAAGAAGGCCUUCGGGUUGUAAAGCACUUUCAGUGGGGAGGAAAGGUUGUUGGUUAAUACCUAACAGCUGUGACGUUACCCACAGAAGAAGCACCGGCUAACUCCGUGCCAGCAGCCGCGGUAAUACGGAGGGUGCGAGCGUUAAUCGGAAUUACUGGGCGUAAAGCGUACGCAGGCGGUUUGUUAAGCGAGAUGUGAAAGCCCCGGGCU
rnacentral:rRNA from 1 species